rnacentral:rRNA from 1 species
GACGAACGCUGGCGGCAUGCCUAACACAUGCAAGUCGAACGAGACCUUCGGGUCUAGUGGCGCACGGGUGCGUAACGCGUGGGAAUCUGCCCUUGGGUUCGGAAUAACAGCGAGAAAUUGCUGCUAAUACCGGAUGAUGACGUAAGUCCAAAGAUUUAUCGCCCAAGGAUGAGCCCGCGUAGGAUUAGCUAGUUGGUGAGGUAAAGGCUCACCAAGGCGACGAUCCUUAGCUGGUCUGAGAGGAUGAUCAGCCACACUGGGACUGAGACACGGCCCAGACUCCUACGGGAGGCAGCAGUGGGGAAUAUUGGACAAUGGGCGAAAGCCUGAUCCAGCAAUGCCGCGUGAGUGAUGAAGGCCUUAGGGUUGUAAAGCUCUUUUACCCGGGAUGAUAAUGACAGUACCGGGAGAAUAAGCUCCGGCU